AAGCCCACCCUAGCCCAACCACCAAAACCACUCAAAGACAAAAAAAUUUACUAAAACUAAAAACUAAAGCAUUCUCCCGUCUAAGUAUAGGCGAUAGAAAAGACAUUUGGAGCAAUAGACCAUAGUACCGUAAGGGAAAGAUGAAAUAACAAUGAAAACCUAAGCAACAAACAGCAAAGACUAACCCUUGUACCUUUUGCAUCAUGAUCUAGCAAGAACAACCAAGCAAAACGAACUUUAAGCUUGCCCUCCCGAAACCCACGCGAGCUACUUACAAGCAGCUAUCCAUGAGCUAACCCGUCUCUGUAGCAAAAGAGUGGGAAGACUUGUCAGUAGAGGUGAAAAGCCUACCGAGCUGGGUGAUAGCUGGUUGCCUGUGAAACGAAUUUAAGUUCCCCCUUAAUUUUACCCCAGAGCCAAACCAACUCACACGUAAAAAUUAAGAGCAAUUUAAAGGAGGUACAGCUCCCUUAAAAAAGAAUACAAUCUCCACCAGAGGAUAAGCUCUUCUUUUUUCCCCCCCCCCCCUGUAGGCCUUCAAGCAGCCACCAGCAAAGAGUGCGUCAAAGCUCUAUACCACGAAAAUACAACUACACAUACGACUCCCUCACCCAUAACAGGCCAACCUAUAAAAAUAGGAGCAUUAAUGCUAGAAUAAGUAACCAAGGAACUUCCUUCUAAAGCACAAACUUACAUUACACAUUAUUAACAGAAUUACUAAUACCCCAACCACUACAAGACCAAGUAUUAAACAUGACUGUUAGACCAACUCAGGAGUGCCCAACUAGAAAGAUUCAAACCUGUAAAAGGAACUAGGCAAACCCAAGGCCCGACUGUUUACCAAAAACACAGCCUUCAGCAAACUAAGUAUUGAAGGUGACGCCUGCCCAGUGACACAAAGUUCAACGGCCGCGGUAUCCUAACCGUGCAAAGGUAGCGCAAUCAAUUGUCCCAUAAAUCGAGACUUGUAUGAAUGGCCAAACGAGGUCUUAACUGUCUCUUACAGGUAAUCAGUGAAAUUGAUCUUCCCGUACAAAAGCGGGAAUAAGCCCAUAAGACGAGAAGACCCUGUGGAACUUAAAAACCAGCAGCCACUCCAAACCAAACCAAAGCCAACCUGGCCCACUACUCAAGGAUAUUGGCCCGCAUUUUUCGGUUGGGGCGACCUUGGAGAAAAACAAAUCCUCCAAAAAUAAGACAAUUACUUUUCACCAAGAUCAACCGUUCAACGUACUAACAGUAACCAGACCCAGCACAGCUGAUUAAUGGACCAAGCUACCCCAGGGAUAACAGCGCAAUCCCCUUCAAGAGCCCAUAUCGACAGGGGGGUUUACGACCUCGAUGUUGGAUCAGGACAUCCUAAUGGUGCAGCCGCUAUUAAGGGUUCGUUUGUUCAACGAUUAAUUAGUCCUACGUGAUCUGAGUUCAGACCGGAGCAAUCCAGGUCGGUUUCUAUCUAUGAUUAACCUCUCCUAGUACGAAAGGACCGGAGAAGUAAGGCCAAUACUACAAGCACGCCUUCCCCUAAAGUAAUGAACCCAUCUAAAUUACCAAAAGGCCACCAAAUAAUUAUCCUAAACAAGGACA
rnacentral:rRNA from 1 species